AGCGAACGCUGGCGGCGUACUUAACACAUGCAAGUCGAACGAGGAUCAUCGGGUUAGCAAUAAUUCGGUGGUCCUAGUGGCGCACGGGUGAGUAACACGUGGGUGACCUGCCCUUGAGCUCGGGGAUACCCCCUUGAAAGGGGGGCGUAAUACCGGAUACGUUCCUCGGUCGAAAGACUGAGGAGGAAAGGUGGCGCAAGCUGCCGCUCUUGGAGGGGCUCGCGGCCUAUCAGCUAGUGGCGGGGUAACGGCCCACCAAGGCUAUGACGGGUAGCUGGUCUGAGAGGACGACCAGCCACACGGGGACUGAGACACGGCCCCGACUCCUACGGGAGGCAGCAGUGGGGAAUUUUCCGCAAUGGGCGAAAGCCUGACGGAGUGACGCCGCGUGUGGGACGAAGGCC
rnacentral:rRNA from 1 species